GCCUAGGUGGCUCAGUUGGUUAAGCAUCUGACUACAGCUCAGGUCAGGAUAUCGUGGUAUGUGGGUGCAAGCCCCACAUUGAGCU
rnacentral:tRNA from 1 species